GGGAAAUAGUUUGGCUGAUUCUCAGGUCAUCAAGAGAGUAGCCAAAUAUCCAUUAACUUGCAAGCAUAAGAAAAAGCCUUGAAUUUAAACUCAGGAGCAUAGAUUUUAUAUAUCUGGCCAGCCUGCCCACUCAUUUGCCACUCUGACUUCUUCAAAUUGCAGUGGGCAUCUUUUUUGUCUGCAAUGAAAGAUUCUAGCUAGUUAGUCAUCUCUGGGAGUUUCCUGUGAUUUACUGCUGAAUCUGUAUAUGAAGCCUGACAGACAUUAGGUUAAGUUCCAUUUUGACAGGAAACUUGCAGAAUAAGCAAGAGAGCAGGUGAGGAACGGCCCCACAUGGAAAUUUUGUAUAUCCGAAUGGAAGAAUAGACUCUGUUGUGCACCUUGUUGCUCUACUACUGCAAGACUGAAGAUAUGAAGAUGCUGUCUAUGGCCUAGAAUCGUGUUGGCUUUUUUGGCAGCUGCUGUCCACUAGGACUCCAUGAUCCCUCUCACAGUUACUUCUAUUGAGCAAGGACAUUGCUGAUCCCACGGGUGUCAAACUUGAUCACAUCAUGGGCUGGAUCGUGAUGUAUUUCAAUGUUUUUUGCCUUUCUGCAGCCAGGGUGGGUGUGGCCUGUGCAUGACAUAUCCGGCCCAUGGGCUGCCGGUUUGACAGGCCUGCAUAUCCAAUGCCAACGUAACAAAUAAGUAUACUAAUAGAGGCUUCAUCUUUCUGCCAGUACAAUAACAUCAUUCUAAAGUAUGCUAUAUUUAGUAUUUCAUAUUAACAUUUUAAAAAAACUUACAAAAAUAUGUUUGCAAACUGUAACUAUGGUGUUUGCAUUGGAAUUGAAGAAUUGUACUUCUCCUAUGAAAAGGAUUUCCAGUGUAUUUUUUCACCCUACAAAAAUGGAUACUGUAUGAGAAUAGAUUAAUUCCAUGGUAAAAGCUACUACAUGGAAAAUUGGGCUGUGCAGAUGCUUGAUUAAUUCUUACUCACUUAUAAUUCUGGAUAUGAUGUCUUGUUAUUCCAGAUUUUGAAUUAUUCAUUAUUAUACGCCAUAACUUUCUGGAGCAUAGUUCAAAAUAUGUAAUAUGAUAGCAUGUUCUGAUGGGGAGGAAUGUUAACCUCGAAGAUGAAUUAACUGUAAACUAUUCUGGAUUAAUUCUCUCUCUCUCUCUCUCUCUCACACACACACACACAGAGCCACGAUUCUGGUAAGAACCAGACAUGCAUAUGGAAACAACUGUCCUUGAACAACAUUUUAAUUAGUGCAAUGGCACAGAAAGAACUGAUGACUUUUUUUUCAGAACCAGCGAGAUACACUGUGACUAUUUUGUCUAAGCUGCCAGCUUGAAUUCAAUAUGUUGUUCCAUCUACAGCUUCUGGAUACUUUUAAAGGCCCUGUAGUAACCCAAAUGAGUUAUUAAGAGAACUCUGGCCAUAUUUUUGCCCAGGGACAAAAAGAAACACAUAGCACAAUUAUGGCACUAAGGAGACUUCAUUUGCAUAACUCUUGACCAUUAGGUCUAAGCCUUUUUCACUGAAAUCCACAAAUCGUGACCCCCCCUCCCCAAAACAGCUUUAUUAAUGAUGUUAUCUGAUUCUGAAAUCAAUCUCAUUCUUUCACACUAUUUGUCUAGACCUUUUAACUGUUUUGUAUAUCUUAUAGGCUCUGGCUUCAUGUGGCUUUUAUCCCAUAGGGGAGAAGUUAUAAUUUUUUCUUUAACAAGGCUAACAACAGUUUAGGGAAGAGGUUUAUGACUAAAAAGCCUUCACCCAGAACCAUUAACUGUGGAGCUUUGCAGUUUUUCCAAGUGAAAAAUGUUUGAAGGUUUUAUAUAUAUAAAAGGUCUAUUUAAUGGUCUAAAAUGUACUGUAAAUAAAAUGCAGCAAUUAAAGAAGGCUAAUUUUAAGGCAAUAAUGAGUUGGCCAUUAGAUCAGGGUUGUGGGAAGUUGACACCUAUAGACAGAUCAGUUUCUUAAUCCAAAGGUCACCUUCCAUAAUAUUAGAAACAUGCUUAUUCCAAAAACAUAAACUUGGCUAUGCAGCAGAACUGAAGAUUUUCAGUGCUUUAUAACUCAAAAAAUGCAGCUUAUUUCAAGGAAUGGCUUUUCAAGUGGAAUAAAUAUCACUGACACCCUGAAACCUUAAUGAACUGGUAUAGGUCAGAUAUUUAUAUUUUUCACAAUGAAAGUAGCUUUCUUUGUCCAAAUGAGGAGCUUCAUUGGGAAAAUGAAGGAAGGAAUACCUUUCGCUUUUUACUUUUGUGUCAUCCAGUUGGUGGUGCUAUAAUAAUUGCAUAGACUAAUUCUCGCAUGAAACACUGCAUUUUUGUCCAAUUAUUUAAGUUCUCAUAUAUAGCAAUGAAAUUGGAUAUCGGUAUCAAUAUUCUUAAAAUACUGUUUUUCCCAUACUAACAAGCAUCAGUGAAAUUUUUGUUAAUUGAACUGGUAUAUUGUAAGGACACUGGUCUCCCAUAAUAUUGGGAGUCCAGCAACUUAAUUUUCUAAACAAGUCAAAAAAAUAAUCCUCAUUUUUAAGAAGCUCAUGUCCAAAGCCAAUUUUCUACUACAGGCAAAUGACCUAAAUAAGGAUGUUAAACAACAAUCACUGAUAUAUUAGUAUCCUUUACACUUGCCCCUUAUGGCUAUUGAUAGAUAUAACAUUUUUUUUAUUUUCUUACUAUUAUCUUGUGUUAUUUUAAAUUGUUAUAAUUGUAAAAUAUUUGAAACAGGAGAUUCCAUUUUAAAAUUAUAAUUGUACAUCUUAUCCAUGGCUAACAUUUGUAAAUAUUCAAAUUGAUAGGAAAAUGGAAUUUGUUCCUCUCAUUCCAUGUUCUAGUGAAAAAGGAUGAAUUUUGAAGAGCUGUAUGUGCACCUACAUAGGUACAACUUAUUUAAGUAGAUUAUAAUGCAAGAACACUGAAUGGGGAAAAAAAUGAAGGGGUAGAAUAUAAUGUCAUUGUUCACUUGACUUGCUAUCCCAAAUGCUCAGGCAAAUUGCUAUUUUUUUUCCAUAAAUGUCUUAUUUUCCUGUAAGAGAUCAACACCUCUAAUUACAAUUAAACAUUUACACAAAUUUGUAUAAUGAAGCUACAAACUGUAUCUCUCUCCAUAUGGUGUAACAUCACUUUUGGAAGACAUUUCCAAGUUCCUAUCAGAAACAUUUGCCUAUUGUUGACAAUUAUUUUAUGUUAAGAAUUAAGUGAACAAAAAUAUGACUACUUGGAUACAGAUACACACUCAUUUCAAACAGCAGUUUUUAGCCUCUUCUCUUUUCAUGCUGAAUUCCUACUCACACCAAAACAAGCAAGGCAUGCCUUUUUUGAACAUCUAUCAAUGGUUUAUCAGCACAGGUCGAAGCAUUUUGAAUAAAGUACAAUUUUGUA